rfam:Tupaia chinensis contig14579, whole genome shotgun sequence.
GUGCUCGCUUUGGCAGCCCAUAUAGUAAAGUUGGAACAAUAUAGAGAUGACUAGCAGGGCCCUGUGCAAGAUGACAUGCAAAUUCAUGAAGCAUUCCAUAUUUCU